CGGGGAGUAGCGCAGCCCGGUAGCGCGCCUGCUUUGGGAGCAGGAUGUCGCAGGUUCGAAUCCUGUCUCCCCGA
rfam:Sphingopyxis sp. LC81 contig1, whole genome shotgun sequence.